rnacentral:rRNA from 1 species
ACGAAGGGGGCUAGCGUUGCUCGGAAUUACUGGGCGUAAAGCGCGCGUAGGCGGCUUUGCAAGUCGGGUGUGGAAUCCCCAGGCUUAACCUGGGAACUGCAUUCGAGACUGCAUUGCUAGAGUAUGGGAGAGGGAAGUGGAAUUUCCGGUGUAGCGGUGAAAUGCGUAGAUAUCUGGAGGAACACCGGUGGCGAAGGCGACGUCCUGGACCGGCAUUGACGCUGAGGCGCGAAAGCCAGGGGAGCAAACGGGA